CAUCUGACCUCAGGUGAUCCACCCAUCUCGGCCUCCCAAAGUGCUGGGAUUACAGGCGUGAGCCACCCUGCCCAGCCCAAUUAUAGAUUUUUUAGGUUUAGGUGUUGACAGUAGCUCUCACCUCAGCCUGUUCUCUCUCCUUGUCAUGCAGCCCACAGGGGAGAUGGUCAGGCCAGUGUGGGGGCUAAUGAAUAAAUGCUACACUGUGCCCACUCAGGUGGGUAAGGGCUGGCACUCCUCUUCCCCUGGAGUGGGGCGGCUGUGCUGGCACCCUUGGCAGACACAGUAAGGGGGACUGCACCUGGAAAGGAUGGGCCAGUCGGGGCAGGACUACUCAUCACUCAUAGUGUGGGUGUCAGGGUUGUGUCACCCCUCCCACCUCCCUCUGCAGAGACGCAAAGUCAAGAGUAGGAAGAAGCCAACCUCUGAGGUAAGGCUUCCCCUGGAAGGCCCAGGGCUGGGGCUCUCUCCUUUCAGAGCUCAGUUAGACCCAGACACACGGCAGGGAGUCCCAAGGGUAGUGGCAGGCCCCCUCCAGGAAACUCACAAGGUUACCACAGCUCAACUGAAAAGGAAGAACUUCCCAGGACUGUGACACCCCAGUGUGAGAACAGGAGGAUGAGGUGCUCUGAAGGCCUUUCUGCCCAGUCUGCCCUCUUAUUCCUCCUGCAGGUCACGACCCCCAGGAGACCUGGAGGACUGAAUGCUGCUGCCCCCAAGGAGGAGGCUGCCGUCUUAUCCCAGGAGGGAGAGCAGGUGAAGUCCCCAGGGGAGGAAGCACCUAGCCCCAUUCCUGCUGAGCAGGAGGUGGCAGGUACCCCAGACUGGGAGGUAAGGACAGCCCGGGGCUUCGACUGAACGUCUCCAGCGUGGGUCCAACUGAGCAGCCAUGGAGCACUGCAGAGUGGGAGGCAGCAGGGCAGGGAGGCAGUGCUGGAGGCUGGCUCAACCCCAAGACCAGCAGGCCAAGCUGCCAUCCCAGGGGAGCGAGGACGUCUGUGCAGAGCUGAGAGGCAGCAGCCAUGUGUGAACAGACUGGGCCUCAUCCUGGCCCCACCGACUUUGUGUGGACAGAGCCUGUUUCCCUGUCUGUGCAACACAGAACCUGCCUGAUCUCACUGCUGGAUCCCUCUUCUUCCUGCCAGGAAAAUAAAAAGGUUCAAAAGGAAGUUGCUGCGUAUCCAUCUGAGGCCUCUGAGGACAGCAAAGAGCAAAGGCCCUGGGACCGGGUCUACGUGCCCAUGACAGAGCUCUGGCUGGACUGGUUCUGAGCCUCUAACACCCCCAAGACUCAGAACCGUGAAGAAAAUCUUUCCAAUAAAUCCAAGAGUUGCUGCUGCUAUAGGCCAGGCUGCCACCUUUCGGGGCCUCCGUCUUCAGACAAACCCAGCCUGGCUUCAUCCACACUCCCUGUCCCCACAGCUGCAGGAACAGCACUUCCUGCCACCGAGCCGUGUGACCACAGUGGAUUGUCUCUGGAGGGGCCCAAGGGGGCCCUGGCCACCCUUCUGACUGACUCGGUGCCAGGGGACAGACCAACGUCCCUCUCGUGCUGACAGCCGGGCCGCACCCUGGCAUGAGGGCAUUUACAGAAAUGCUGGCGGAACUGCUGCCAGGGAGGCUGUAGGGUCCUCUGGCAAAAGAGGCCUCAGGUGGCUCCUCAGAGUGUCUGUGGUUCUCUGUCCCAGGCUGUUCCCUAAGAAGGUCUGCCCAGGACUCAGGUAAUCAUAUGCUCAUUAGAAACUCUUGGGCACUGCCUGUGUGCCCAGCCCAGCCCAUUAUGUCGGUGAGGACAGACGUGGAGGACAGCAGUCCCUGCCCUUGGUUGGGGCUCCAGGCCAGCAAGGGCCACAGCCCCAGAAGGCAGAGCAGGAAGACAGGACUCGGGGCAGGUGAAGCAGCCUUCUCGUUGGCAGAAGGGAAACAGAAGCCCGGGGUGGGGAAGGGUGGGGAAGGGUGGGGAAGGGUGGGCCCGGGGUCACACGGGGUAAUGGCAGAGCAAGGACUAGGGUCAGGGUCUCUGGCUCUCAGCUGCCCAUGCCACCUCCUCCUUCUCUGCCCGCCCCAGUGCCUUAUGGGUCCAAGGUUGACUCCUGUCCCUAGGGCAGGCCUGUGGGCCCUGCCUGAUCCCUACUGGGAGGAUGGUACCUAGGGUUGGAGCCAAACAAGUGUCCUCCUCCAGCGCCAGCCUGGCCCUGAGUGCGAACUCGUCACUGGUCAGGGGUCCAGACAGCAGCAUCCCUGAGGGCCCAGAGAGGUGGCCAGUCCUGUGGUGAGGUUGAGAGGUGUCAACGUGCUGGUGGUCCUCGCUCGCUCUCAGCGCCUCCUCGGCCUCAGCUUCUGCUCUGACCACACUUGAGGAGCCCUUCAGCCCAGCGCUGCACUGUGGGAGCCCCUCUCUGGACUGGUGGAGGCUGGAGCCGGCUCCGUCUGCUUGCGGGGAGUAAGUCUUGCUGCUGCUGCUCCCUCAUUGGGUCCACACUGCCUUUAUGAGUUGUAACACUGGAAGGACUGCAGUUUCACUCCUGAGGCCAGUGAGACCACAAACCCACCAGGAAGAAUGAACAACUCCGUACGUGCAGCCUUAAGAGCCGUAACACUCACUGUGAAGGUCUGCAGCUUCACUCCUGAAGCCAGCAAGACCACGCACCCACCAGAAGGAAGAAACUCUGAACACGUCUUAACAUCAGAAGGAACAAACUCUGAACACACCAUCUUUAAGAACUGUAACACUCACCGUGAGGGUCCACGGCUUCAUUCUUGAAGUCAGUGAGACCAAGAACCCACCAAUUUUGGACACAAGGUGACAGGCUGAGGGCGGUGGCUCGGUCCUGGGUUUUCCUGGGGCCUUCCCAGGGAAUGUUCUGGCACCUGCCGACUGAGCCCUGGGAGGUAGCCCUGGCAUAUAGCUCCCUGACAUGA